AACCAUUCUCACCUGCGGCUAGACCUGCGGAAGGAUCAUUCAUGUGUCUUUAAUAUGGACAACUUAAUCCAUAUCCACCUUGUGUGCACUGUUUUGCUGUUGAUUUUGGCAUGUGCUUUGAGCUCCUAUGGCGUCUCAAGGGCGAGCACAGGACUGACUGGUGAAUGAGGUUUUUAUCUCUUUCCCCUAAGGACCUGCGCGGCAUGCCAAAGUUUUCAUCCAACAAAAUACCUAUUGAAA
rnacentral:misc_RNA from 1 species